UUUAAAGUCUAACCUGCCCAAUGAUUGAUUUAAAUGGCCGCGGUAAUUUGACUGUGCAAAGGUAGCAUAAUCAUUAGUUUUUUAAUUAGGAGCUGGUAUGAAGGGUUGGACGAGAAAAAUUCUGUCUCAUUAUAAUUUUAGUUAGAAGUUUAUGUUUAAGUAAGAAAGCUUAAAUUUAUUUGAAAGACGAGAAGACCCUAUAGAGUUUUAUAUUUAUUUUUUUAUUAUAUUUAAGGUAUAAGUGUUGUAUUAAUUUAAUAAGUAUUUUGUUGGGGUGAUGGAAAAAUUAAUUGAACUUUUUUUUUAGUUAACAUUAAUUUAUGAAUGAAUGAUCCAUUAUUAGUGAUUAUAAGAUUAAAUUACCUUAGGGAUAACAGCGUAAUUUUUUUUGAGAGUUCUAAUCGAAAAAAGAGUUUGCGACCUCGAUGUUGGAUUAAAAUAAACUAUUGGUGUAGCCGCUGAAUAGUUAGGUCUGUUCGACCUUUAAAAUUUUACAUGAUCUGAGUUUAGACCGGUGUGAGCCAGGUUGGUUUCUAUCUUCAAAAAUAGAAAGUAUCUUAGUACGAAAGGACUUGAUGUUUGUAAUAGUUAUUAUGUUUUGAUUAUUAUUA
rnacentral:rRNA from 1 species